rnacentral:rRNA from 1 species
UACGAAGGGGGGCUAGCGUUGUUCGGAAUUACUGGGCGUAAAGCGCGCGCAGGCGGUCUUCCAAGUCAGGGGUGAAAUCCUGGAGCUCAACUCCAGAACUGCCUUUGAUACUGAAGAUCUUGAGUCCGGGAGAGGUGAGUGGAACUGCGAGUGUAGAGGUGAAAUUCGUAGAUAUUCGCAAGAACACCAGUGGCGAAGGCGGCUCACUGGCCCGGUACUGACGCUGAGGCGCGAAAGCUAAGGGGAGCAAAC